AGCGAACGCUGGCGGCAGGCUUAACACAUGCAAGUCGAGCGGGCGUAGCAAUACGUCAGCGGCAGACGGGUGGGUAACGCGUGGGAACAUACCUUUUGGUUCGGAACAACACAGGGAAACUUGUGCUAAUACCGGAUAAGCCCUUACGGGGAAAGAUUUAUCGCCGAAAGAUUGGCCCGCGUCUGAUUAGCUAGUUGGUGAGGUAAUGGCUCACCAAGGCGACGAUCAGUAGCGGUCUGAGAGGAUGAUCAGCCACAUUGGGACUGAGACACGGCCCAAACUCCUACGGGAGGCAGCAGUGGGGAAUAUUGGACAAUGGGCGCAAGCCUGAUCCAGCCAUGCCGCGUGAGUGAUGAAGGCCCUAGGGUUGUAAGCUCUUUUGUGCGGGAAGAUAAUGACGGUACCGCAAGAAU
rnacentral:rRNA from 1 species